AGUGAACGCUGGCGGCAGGCCUAACACAUGCAAGUCGUACGGCAGCACAGUAAGAGCUUGCUCUUACGGGUGGCGAGUGGCGGAAGGGUGAGGAAUACAUCGGAAUCUACUUUUUCGAGGGGGAUAACGUAGGGAAACUUACGCUAAUACCGCAUACGACCUACGGGUGAAAGCAGGGGAUCUUCGGACCUUGCGCGAUUGAAUGAGCCGAUGUCGGAUUAGCUAGUUGGCGGGGUAAAGGCCCACCAAGGCGACGAUGCGUAGCUGGUCUGAGAGGAGGAAGAGGCACACUGGGACUGAGACACGGUCCAGACUCCUACGGGAGGCAGCAGUUGGGAAUAUUGGACAAUGGGCGCAAGCCUGAUCCAGCCAUGCCGGGCUGGUGAAGAAGGCCUUCGUGUGGGAAAGCCCCUUUGGUGUUAAAGAAAAGCAGCAGGUUAAUACCCCGCUGUUCUGACGGUACCCAAAGAAGAAGCACCGGCUAACUUCGUG
rnacentral:rRNA from 1 species